CUCAAAGAUUAAGCCAUGCAAGUGGUUAUAUUAACCCGACAGUUUAAAUAAGUGUUAAAUGCUACCAUUAAACUUAUGCAAUAUCACGCACACACACACAUAUGAUUUUGUUUACAGUAGUAACAAUUUCAGCGUGAAUCACACCAUCACACAGUGAAUCACUGAAAUUUACCCAAUAUCAGUAUCACUUACGCAACUGCAGACAGCUGCUUAAUACAGUCACACUUGUCUUGACUUGGCGUAAUAAAAAUAUUUCAUUCAAUACACUGCUUAAACGCAGUGCAGAGGGUGAAUUUUUUUAUUUUGUUGCAUCACACGCACAAAAUUUUUUGAUUUCUCUGUAUCGCUUAUUCUCAAGGACAUGCGUUACACCGUGACAAUUUUCUUUAUGGAUAACUCAGGGAAAGUUUGGCUAAUACGUACGAGUAAUAUACCUCACACACACACACACACAAUUCAAAAUUUUUUGUUUUGCGCCGUGUAUCGACAACACACACACACACACACAAUCACUACUCAGCACUCAGUGGUAAACUUUGAUUGCGUUCGCGCAUUCAGUUUAAAGUAUAACUGCAACAUGAGAGACAUUGAGCACGCACGUGUCGUACCUUCGGGUACUUCACAUCACGCUGAGCAGACUUUGCGAAGUUUACUUUGCGAAGCAUGUCAUACAAGCAUCUACAGCAUCAAGUCACAGGGUUGGCAAGUGUAUUUUUGAACCUUCAAAGCAGUCACGCAUACGGAAGAGUAGUUUCUGAUCCCAUAGAAGGAGCACCGUACAAUGAGAGACCGCUCUUAGUUCUAAGGAACGCAGCAGGCGCGUAAAUUGCCCAAUGCUAGUACCCUACAAUCAAAUUGUAUUUACAUGCGUUAACAAUUUACAACAUUACAACAAAGUUUAUUACACACAUAUAACACUAUAUUUUUUCUGUUACCCAACAGAAUUUAUUUAUUCUAAACAUCCUUGUUCGUUGUUUAUUCAGCACGAUGAUAUUAAUUUAUUAUUUUACUGAGGCAGUGACAAGCUGUAACGGUUGAGUAUAAAAAUGACGAGUGUCUGGCAUUGCCGCUCUUUCGGGAGCUUGGCAAGUUGCCGACGCUUUGUGUGCUCAAUUGGAAUGCGGUGAGUUUAAGCAACUCAGAACCUUCGAACGGUGUUAGUAAAAUUUCACUGUUUAUGUAUCUGAAUUUCAAGUGGAGGGCAAGUCUGGUGCCAGCAGCCGCGGUAAUACCAGCUCCACUGGCCUAUACAAUCAUUGUUGC
rnacentral:rRNA from 1 species